rnacentral:rRNA from 2 species
GUCAUAUGCUUGUCUCAAAGAUUAAGCCAUGCAUGUCUCAGUACAAGCCAAAUUAAGGUGAAACCGCGAAAGGCUCAUUAAAUCAGUUAUGGUUCCUUAGAUCGUACCCACAAUUACUUGGAUAACUGUGGUAAUUCUAGAGCUAAUACAUGCAAACAGAGCUCCGACCGGAGACGGAAGGAGUGCUUUUAUUAGAUCAAAACCAAUCGGUGGCGGGUUCGCUCGUCAUCGUACAAUUUGGUGACUCUGAAUAACUUUAGGCUGAUCGCACGGUCAUCGCACCGGCGACGCGUCUUUCAAAUGUCUGCCUUAUCAACUGUCGAUGGUAGGUUCUGCGCCUACCAUGGUUGUAACGGGUAACGGGGAAUCAGGGUUCGAUUCCGGAGAGGGAGCCUGAGAAACGGCUACCACAUCCAAGGAAGGCAGCAGGCGCGCAAAUUACCCACUCCCGGCACGGGGAGGUAGUGACGAAAAAUAACGAUACGGGACUCAUCCGAGGCCCCGUAAUCGGAAUGAGUACACUCUAAACCCUUUAACGAGGAUCAAUUGGAGGGCAAGUCUGGUGCCAGCAGCCGCGGUAAUUCCAGCUCCAAUAGCGUAUAUUAAAGUUGUUGCGGUUAAAAAGCUCGUAGUCGAAUUUGUGUCUCGCGCCGCCGGUUCAUCGUCCGCGGUGUUAACUGGCGAGUCGCGAGACGUCCUGCCGGUGGGCUUAGCUCGCGAGGGCGGCCCAACUCAAUCCUGCCGCGGUGCUCUUCAUUGAGUGUCGAGGUGGGCCGGCACGUUUACUUUGAACAAAUUAGAGUGCUUAAAGCAGGCUAAAACUUCGCCUGAAUACUGUGUGCAUGGAAUAAUGGAAUAGGACCUCGGUUCUAUUUUGUUGGUUUUCGGAACCCCGAGGUAAUGAUUAAUAGGAACGGAUGGGGGCAUUCGUAUUGCGACGUUAGAGGUGAAAUUCUUGGAUCGUCGC